rnacentral:rRNA from 1 species
CCUACGGGUGGCUGCAGUGAGGAAUAUUGGUCAAUGGGCGGAAGCCUGAACCAGCCAAGUCGCGUGAGGGAUUAAGGCCCUGCGGGUCGUAAACCUCUUUUGCCGGGGAGCAGUGGUCCGGACGCGUCCGGCCCGGGAUAGUACCCGGAGAAAAAGCCUCGGCUAACUCCGUGCCAGCAGCCGCGGUAAUACGGAGGAUGCGAGCGUUAUCCGGUGUUAUAGGGUUUAAAGGGUGCUUAGGCGGGCAUUUAAGCCGGCGGUCAAAUGUCGGGGCUCAACCCCGGCCUGCCGUCGGAACUGGGGGCGUUGAGUGGGCGAGAAGUAGGCGGAAUGCGUGGUGUAGCGGUGAAAUGCAUAGAUAUCACGCAGAACCCCGAUUGCGAAGGCAGCAUACCGGAGCCCUACUGACGCUGAGGCACGAAAGUGCGGGUAUCGAACAGGAUUAGAUACCCCGGUAGUC